GAUGAACGCUAGCGGCGGGCUUAAUACAUGCAAGUCAAGGGGUAGCAAUACACCGGCGUACGGGUGCGUAACGCGUAUGGAACCUGCCCUUAUCUGGGGGAUAACUCGGGGAAACUCGAGCUAAUACCGCAUAAGAUAGUAGAAUGGCAUCAUUCAGCUAUUAAAGAUUUAUCGGAUAAGGAUGGCCAUGCGUAAGAUUAGAUAGUUGGUGGGGUAACGGCUCACCAAGUCUACGAUCUUUAGGGGCUCUGAGAGGAGAAUCCCCCACACUGGCACUGAGAUAAGGGCCAGACUCCUACGGGAGGCAGCAGUAGGGAAUAUUGGGCAAGGGGCGGAAGCCUGACCCAGCCACGCCGCGUGCAGGAAGAAGGCCCUCUGGGUUGUAAACUGCUUUUGAUUGGGAAGAAAGCAUCUCAUGCGUGGGAUUUUGACGGUACCAAUCGAAUAAGCCACGGCUAACUACGUGCCAGCCGCCGCGGUAACAC
rnacentral:rRNA from 1 species